rnacentral:rRNA from 1 species
AUGAAGAAGAUCAAGAGUGGAAAAGAGCUAGUGGAAGAAGUAAGGAAGAUUGAGAAGAACAUCAACACUGGUAGCACUAUUUCUUCACAUCUUGAGAUGAGCAAUUCUGGGAUUCCCCUUGAUACAUGUGAGGUUCCAAUACCGUCACAUCCAGCUGAGCAAGAUAGCAAGUGCCUUGAGCAAGAGAUACCACAUAUUGAAGAAGAUAAACUAGAAGACAAGGAACAAGAUGAUCAGGAGCUGCAACUCCCAAGUGAUCAAGUUGAAAACUCAUCAUCUACUACUCCUGAAGAAGUAAAAGAAGCUGUUGUAGAUGAAGAUGAAGAACCUGAGAUUCACUGGCCUAUUGUCAUACAUGAGCAUGAUGUGUCAUGUUUACCCAAUCCUCUUGAUGACAUGCUCCCUUAUGAUUUCGUUGCUUCUAACUUGCAUUGCAUGAUGCCAUCACUUAAGGUAGAUUUGGAAAACUAUUUGCUUGGACAUGAUCAUGCACACCCUGUUAGUGGCAUUACUCUCAUUAGUGAUGAUCACAGUUACUUUCCUCGUGUUAGUUCUAUGCUUAAUGAAACAUAUCAUUCCCAUGCUAGUCUUGAGCUUAAUGAUAAAUAUCAUCCUCAUGUUAGUGUUCACCUUGCUAAUUUCUACCAUCCUAAGCAUGUGCUUUAUAGCUAUGCUUAUGUAAUUGGACAUUCGAUUGAUAACUUGGAGGGUAUUAUCCCUGCCACUUGCAUUGUCUCUUUUGUUGAGUGUUUUUCCAGGUUUUUGCUUCUGCACCGUUCACUUCAUGCUGACCAGGUUCGAGGUGACAUUCCUUGGGACCCUGGUGGACUCAGAGCAUGGUGA